rnacentral:rRNA from 1 species
GUGUUCCACGCUGUCGGUUCGCCGCCCGUCGGUGUUAACUGGCAUGUCCUGUGGAACGUCCUGCCGGUGGCGGUCCGGGCUCUCGGCUUGCGUAAAGGCUCCGGCCCGAAGCAGGUCGAAUAGUUCCGGCCGCCGGUCCAAUCCCGCCACGGUGCUCUUCACCGAGUGUCGAGGUGGGCCGGCACGUUUACUUUGAACAAAUUAGAGUGCUUAAAGCAGGCUGGUGUCCGCCUGAAUACUGUGUGCAUGGAAUAAUAGAAUAGGACCUCGGUUCUAUUUUGUUGGUUUUCGGAACCCGAGGUAAUGAUUAAUAGGGACAGGCGGGGGCAUUCGUAUUGCGACGUUAGAGGUGAAAUUCUUGGAUCGUCGCAAGACGAACCUAAGCGAAAGCAUUUGCCAAGUAUGUUCUCGUUAAUCAAGAACGAAAGUUAGAGGUUCGAAGGCGAUCAGAUACCGCCCUAGUUCUAACCAUAAACGAUGCCAGCCAGCGAUCCGCCGAAGUUCCUCCGAUGACUCGGCGGGCAGCUUCCGGGAAACCAAAGCUUUUGGGUUCCGGGGGAAGUAUGGUUGCAAAGCUGAAACUUAAAGGAAUUGACGGAAGGGCACCACCAGGAGUGGAGCCUGCGGCUUAAUUUGACUCAACACGGGAAACCUCACCAGGCCCGGACACCGGAAGGAUUGACAGAUUGAGAGCUCUUUCUUGAUUCGGUGGGUGGUGGUGCAUGGCCGUUCUUAGUUGGUGGAGCGAUUUGUCUGGUUAAUUCCGAUAACGAACGAGACUCUAGCCUGCUAACUAGGCGAUUUCCGGUACCCACAAUAGUGUUACCGGCGAUUCAAUUUCUUCUUAGAGGGACAGGCGGCUCCUAGCCGCACGAGACUGAGCAAUAACAGGUCUGUGAUGCCCUUAGAUGUCCUGGGCCGCACGCGCGCUACACUGAAGGAAUCAGCGUGUCUUCCCUGGCCGACAGGCCCGGGUAACCCGUUGAACCUCCUUCGUGCUAGGGAUUGGGGCUUGCAAUUGUUCCCCAUGAACGAGGAAUUCCCAGUAAGCGCGAGUCAUAAGCUCGCGUUGAUUACGUCCCUGCCCUUUGUACACACCGCCCGUCGCUACUACCGAUUGAAUGAUUUAGUGAGGUCUUCGGACUGGUGCGCGGCGGUCGGCCUUGCCGGCCGCCGAUGUUGCCGGAAAGAUGACCAAACUUGAUCAUUUAGAGGAAGUAAAAGU